rnacentral:rRNA from 1 species
UCAGGACGAACGCUGGCGGCGUGCCUAAUACAUGCAAGUAGAACGCUGAAGAGAGGAGCUUGCUCUUCUUGGAUGAGUUGCGAACGGGUGAGUAACGCGUAGGUAACCUGCCUUGUAGCGGGGGAUAACUAUUGGAAACGAUAGCUAAUACCGCAUAACAAUGGAUGACACAUGUCAUUUAUUUGAAAGGGGCAAUUGCUCCACUACAAGAUGGACCUGCGUUGUAUUAGCUAGUAGGUGAGGUAAUGGCUCACCUAGGCGACGAUACAUAGCCGACCUGAGAGGGUGAUCGGCCACACUGGGACUGAGACACGGCCCAGACUCCUACGGGAGGCAGCAGUAGGGAAUCUUCGGCAAUGGGGGCAACCCUGACCGAGCAACGCCGCGUGAGUGAAGAAGGUUUUCGGAUCGUAAAGCUCUGUUGUAAGUCAAGAACGGGUGUGAGAGUGGAAAGUUCACACUGUGACGGUAGCUUACCAGAAAGGGACGGCUAACUACGUGCCAGCAGCCGCGGUAAUACGUAGGUCCCGAGCGUUGUCCGGAUUUAUUGGGCGUAAAGCGAGCGCAGGCGGUUUGAUAAGUCUGAAGUUAAAGGCUGUGGCUCAACCAUAGUUCGCUUUGGAAACUGUCAAACUUGAGUGCAGAAGGGGAGAGUGGAAUUCCAUGUGUAGCGGUGAAAUGCGUAGAUAUAUGGAGGAACACCGGUGGCGAAAGCGGCUCUCUGGUCUGUAACUGACGCUGAGGCUCGAAAGCGUGGGGAGCGAACAGGAUUAGAUACCCUGGUAGUCCACGCCGUAAACGAUGAGUGCUAGGUGUUGGAUCCUUUCCGGGAUUCAGUGCCGCAGCUAACGCAUUAAGCACUCCGCCUGGGGAGUACGACCGCAAGGUUGAAACUCAAAGGAAUUGACGGGGGCCCGCACAAGCGGUGGAGCAUGUGGUUUAAUUCGAAGCAACGCGAAGAACCUUACCAGGUCUUGACAUCCCGAUGCUAUUUCUAGAGAUAGAAAGUUACUUCGGUACAUCGGUGACAGGUGGUGCAUGGUUGUCGUCAGCUCGUGUCGUGAGAUGUUGGGUUAAGUCCCGCAACGAGAA